rnacentral:tRNA from 1 species
GGAGACGUGGCCGAGUGGUCGAAGGCGCACCCCUGCUAAGGGUGUAGACGGGAAACCGUCUCGUGGGUUCGAAUCCCAUCGUCUCCG